AGUGCUUUGGCUCAGCGAUAGAGCACCUCGUUCACAUCAAGGAGGCACUGGUUCAAAUCCAGUAAGUACCUCC
rnacentral:tRNA from 1 species